rnacentral:rRNA from 1 species
UGGCGACCGGCGCACGGGCGCGCUAACGCGUAUAGAACUUACCUUUACAGAGGGAUAGCCUUUAGAAAUGAAGAUUAAUACCUCAUAGUAUUGAAUUUUGGCAUCAAGAUUUAAUUAAAGAUUUAUCGGUAAAAGAUGGCUAUGCGUCCUAUUAGCUAGAUGGUGAGGUAACGGCUCACCAUGGCAACGAUAGGUAGGGGUCCUGAGAGGGAGAUCCCCCACACUGGUACUGAGACACGGACCAGACUCCUACGGGAGGCAGCAGUGAGGAAUAUUGGACAAUGGGCGCAAGCCUGAUCCAGCCCUGCCGCGUGUGUGAAGAAAGCCCUUCGGGUUGUAAAGCACUUUCCGCGAGGAGGAAAGGUUAAGUGUUAAUAGCACUUACCUGUGACGUUACUCGCAGAAGAAGCACCGGCUAACUCCGUGCCAGCAGCCGCGGUAAUACGGAGGGUGCAAGCGUUAAUCGGAAUUACUGGGCGUAAAGCGCGCGUAGGUUGUUUGUUAAGCCGAGAUGUGAAAGCCCCGGGCUCCACCUGGGAACUGCAUUUCGAACUGGCAAGCUUAGAAUACCGUCAAAGGGUGGCGGAAAUUUCCUGUGUACCCGGUGAAAUGCCGUAAAAAUGGGGAAGGAACAUUAGUGGCCGAAAGCGGCC